AGGAUCAUUAUUGAAUGAACUUGGCGUGGUUGUUGCUGGCCCUCUCGGGGGCAUGUGCACACCCGCCAUCUCCAUCUCUCCACCUGUGCACCUCUUGUAGACUGGAAUAGACUUUCCGAGGCAACUCGGUCGGGAGGAAUGCUGUCGCUUUGCGUCGGCUUUCUUUGCACUUCCAAGCCUAUGUUUUUCAUAUACCCGUAGUAUGUAACAGAAUGUAUCAUUUGGACCUCAGUGCCUAUAAACCAUAUACAACUUUCAGCAACGGAUCUCUUGGCUCUCGCAUCGAUGAAGAACGCAGCGAAAUGCGAUAAGUAAUGUGAAUUGCAGAAUUCAGUGAAUCAUCGAAUCUUUGAACGCACCUUGCGCUCCUUGGUAUUCCGAGGAGCAUGCCUGUUUGAGUGUCAUUUAAUUCUCAACCUUAUUAGCUUUUGCUGAUAAUGGCUUGGAUGUGGGGGUUCUCUUUUGCUGGCUUCUUUUCACAGAGGUCAGCUCCCCUGAAAUGCAUUAGCUGGUGCCCCGCGUGGACUGUCUAUUUGGUGUGAUAAUUAUCAACGCCGUGGAUGUCUGCAAUUGGUUUUGGCACUGCUUCUAACUGUCUAUUCAUUUGGACAACACAUGACAAUUGACCUCAAAUCA
rnacentral:rRNA from 1 species